rnacentral:rRNA from 1 species
CCUACGGGAGGCAGCAGUGGGGAAUAUUGCACAAUGGGGGAAACCCUGAUGCAGCGACGCCGCGUGAGUGAAGAAGUAUUUCGGUACGUAACGCUCUAUCAGCAGGGAAGAACAUGACGGUACCUGACUAAGAAGCCCCGGCUAAAUACGUGCCAGCAGCCGCGGUAAUACGUAGGGGGCAAGCGUUAUCCGGAUUUACUGGGUGUAAAGGGAGCGUAGACGGCAGCGCAAGUCUGGAGUGAAAUCCCAUGGCUUAACCAUGGAACUGCUUUGGAAACUGUGCAGCUAGAGUGCAGGAGAGGUAAGCGGAAUUCCUAGUGUAGCGGUGAAAUGCGUAGAUAUUAGGAGGAACACCAGUGGCGAAGGCGGCUUACUGGACUGUAACUGACGUUGAGGCUCGAAAGCGUGGGGAGCAAACAGGAUUAGAUACCCUUGUAGUC